GAAUCAAAUUCGAACGCAGAGCCU
rnacentral:siRNA from 1 species